CACGUAGGGUGCGAGCGUUGUCCGGAAUUAUUGGGCGUAAAGAGCUCGUAGGCGGUGUGUCGCGUCGGCCGUGAAAACCUGCAGCUUAACUGUGGGCUUGCGGUCGAUACGGGCAUCACUGGAGUUCGGCAGGGGAGACUGGAAUCCUGGUGUAGGCGGUGAAAUGCGCAGAUAUCGGGAAGAACACCCGUGGCGAAAGCGGAA
rnacentral:rRNA from 1 species